rnacentral:rRNA from 1 species
AACGAACGCUGGCGGCAUGCCUAACACAUGCAAGUCGAACGAGACCUUCGGGUCUAGUGGCGCACGGGUGCGUAACGCGUGGGAACCUGCCCUUAGGUUCGGAAUAACUCCCCGAAAGGGGUGCUAAUACCGGAUAAUGUCUUCGGACCAAAGAUUUAUCGCCUUUGGAUGGGCCCGCGUUGGAUUAGCUAGUUGGUAGGGUAAAAGCCUACCAAGGCGACGAUCCAUAGCUGGUCUGAGAGGAUGAUCAGCCACACUGGGACUGAGACACGGCCCAGACCCCUCGGGAGGGAAGAAGGGGGGAUAAUGGGCAAUGGGCGAAAGCCUGAUCCAGCAAUGCCGCGUGAGUGAUGAAGGCCUUAGGGUUGUAAAGCUCUUUUACCCGGGAUGAUAAUGACAGUACCGGGAGAAUAAGCGCCGGCUAACUCCGUG